rnacentral:rRNA from 1 species
GAUGAACGCUGGCGGCGUGCCUAAUACAUGCAAGUCGAGCGAACAGACGAGGAGCUUGCUCCUUUGACGUUAGCGGCGGACGGGUGAGUAACACGUGGAUAACCUACCUAUAAGACUGGGAUAACUUCGGGAAACCGGAGCUAAUACCGGAUAAUAUAUUGAACCGCAUGGUUCAAUAGUGAAAGACGGUUUUGCUGUCACUUAUAGAUGGAUCCGCGCCGCAUUAGCUAGUUGGUAAGGUAACGGCUUACCAAGGCAACGAUGCGUAGCCGACCUGAGAGGGUGAUCGGCCACACUGGAACUGAGACACGGUCCAGACUCCUACGGGAGGCAGCAGUAGGGAAUCUUCCGCAAUGGGCGAAAGCCUGACGGAGCAACGCCGCGUGAGUGAUGAAGGUCUUCGGAUCGUAAAACUCUGUUAUUAGGGAAGAACAAAUGUGUAAGUAACUAUGCACGUCUUGACGGUACCUAAUCAGAAAGCCACGGCUAACUACGUG